rnacentral:rRNA from 1 species
CGAGUUUGAUCAUGGCUCAGAACGAACGCUGGCGGCAGGCCUAACACAUGCAAGUCGAGCGCCCCGCAAGGGGAGCGGCGGACGGGUGAGUAACACGUGGGAAUUUUCCUCAAGGUACGGAACAACUCAGGGAAACUUGGGCUAAUACCGUAUGAUGCAGAGAUGCCAAAGAUUUAUCGCCUUGGGAUAAGCCCGCGUCAGAUUAGGUAGUUGGUGGGGUAAUGGCCUACCAAGCCUGUGAUCUGUAGCUGGUCUGAGAGGACGAUCAGCCACAUUGGGACUGAGACACGGCCCAAACUCCUACGGGAGGCAGCAGUGGGGAAUCUUGCGCAAUGGACGAAAGUCUGACGCAGCCAUGCCGCGUGAAUGAUGAAGGUCUUAGGAUUGUAAAGUUCUUUAGCCUGUGACGAUGAUGACGGUAACAGGAGAAUAAGCCCCGGCUAACUUCGUG